CGCGACCCCAGGUCAGGCGGGGUUACCC
rnacentral:rRNA from 2 species